rnacentral:RNase_P_RNA from 1 species
GUAGACAAGGCAAUCGCAUUGCAUGAGUGYAAUGAGGAAAGUCCGGACUCCAAACAGGAUUGAUUCCUUGUAAGAUAAGUACGUAUUCGUAUUUAUACAAGCAAGGGGGGCGUAAGCCCAUGGAAAGUGCAACAGAAAUUAAACCGCCAGAUACGUCUGGUAAGGGUGAAACUGUGCGGUAAGAGCGCACGCAUAUUAUAAGUAAUUAUAAURUGAGGCAAACCCAAUCAGGAGCAAGACAAAAUAGGCGCAUGGCGUUUCCUGUUCGCAAACAUGUGCGGGUAUGUCGCAUAGAUACAUGAUUGCCACUUGUAUCGAAAGAUACAUGACAGAAUCCGGCUUAUUGUUUGGCUGCAUAC